rnacentral:rRNA from 1 species
CCUACGGGAGGCAGCAGUGGGGAAUAUUGGGCAAUGGAGGCAACUCUGACCCAGCAACGCCGCGUGAAUGAUGAAGGUCUUCGGGUUGUAAAGUUCUUUUCUAAGGGAAGAAGAAAGUGACGGUACCUUAGGAAUAAGCCUAGGCUAACUACGUGCCAGCAGCCGCGGUAAUACGUAGGAGGCAAGCGUUAUCCGGAAUGGCUGGGCGUAAAGGGUGCGUAGGUGGUUUGACAAGUUAGUUGCGAAACUCCGGGGCUCAACUUCGGAACUACUACUAAAACUGGUGGACUUGAGUGCAGGAGAGGCAAGCGGAAUUCCUAGUGUAGCGGUGGAAUGCGUAGAUAUUAGGAGGAACACCGGUGGCGAAGGCGGAUUGCUAGACUGUAACUGACACUGAGGCACGAAAGCGUGGGGAGCAAACAGGAUUAGAUACCCGUGUAGUC